AGGCCCAUAACUCAGUUGGUAGAGUAGUUGCCUUACAAGCAGAUUGUCAUCGGUUCGAGUCCGGUUGGGCCUA
rnacentral:tRNA from 1 species